rnacentral:rRNA from 1 species
UACGUAGGGUCCGAGCGUUGUCCGGAUUUAUUGGGCGUAAAGAGCUCGUAGGCGGUUCAGUAAGUCGGAUGUGAAAACUCAGGGCUCAACCCUGAGACGCCAUCCGAUACUGCUGUGACUUGAGUCUGGUAGGGGAGAACGGAAUUCCAGGUGUAGCGGUGAAAUGCGCAGAUAUCUGGAGGAACACCGAUGGCGAAGGCAGUUCUCUGGGCCAGUACUGACGCUGAGGAGCGAAAGCGUGGGGAGCAAACAGG